rnacentral:lncRNA from 1 species
CACACAUGUAUUGGCUGGAGUUCUGCUGAAUAGCUAAGCAUGUCAGCACCUCCAAGGAGUGUGUAUGCACUUCAACAUCACUUACUCAUCUUAUAUCACCCACAAUGAAAGAGUGCUUCAGAAGAAAGUGCAACUAUUCAACACUUUUGAGUCUUGAAGUGGUGACAUCGGCUUUCUAUGGAACACAUUCUGCACUGGUCUUCAGUUAACACUUAAUUUAAUGGAAACUUUGUGAAGCUGUACCUGCCAGAAGUUGUGACUUGGGUGAAGUACAUAUGAAGUAAAAUCACUGACUGCUGUGCUGCCAAUGCACUAUCAGCAGGUUACAAGGACAAGAAGGGCUCAUUUAAGGAGAGCUCUAUUACUG